rnacentral:misc_RNA from 1 species
CCGUAGGUAACCUGGGAAGGAUCAUUAAUAAAUUUUUUUUUGAAAUAAAAAAAAAAUAAUAAUCAUCCUACCCUUUGUGAAUUUUUUGUUGAAUAAUUUUUUAAAAUUAUUAUUGUCUAUCCAAGUUGGAAAGUUGUAAAAGACUAGAAACUUGGAGCGGCAUAAAUAAAUUUAAAGACUUUUUUCUAAAAUUAAACUUUUGUAUUCAUUUGUCUAAAAUAAUUUUUAUAAUAUAUAAAAACAACUUUUGACAAUGGAUCUCUUGGUUCUCGCAACGAUGAAGAACGCAGCAAAAUGCGAUAAGUAAUGUGAAUUGCAGAAUACGUGAAUCAUCGAAUCUUCGAACGCAUAUUGCACUUUUUAGUUUACUAAAAAAGUAUGUCUGUUUGAGUAUCAGUAAAAUGUUCUCAUAAAAUUUUAAUUUUAUGUUAUGAGUGUUUUACAACGAUAAACAAGUUGUUUCACUUUAAAUUGAAUUUUUGAAGAAUUCUUAAUUCAAAUUAAAUUUGGAUAAAAUUUUCCCGUAAAAGGAAUAACUAUACAAGUUAUAAGAAUUUAGUGAUUUCUUUUAUGAAAGGAAUUUAUUAAAUAAUUGAUCUCAAAUCAGAUAAGAGUACCCGCUGAACUUAAGCAUAUCAAUAAGCGGAGGAAAAGAAACUAACAAGGAUUCCCUAGUAACGCGAGUGAAGCGGGAAGAGCUCAAAUUUGAAAUCUCAAAGGGUUUCCCUUUACGAAUUGUAGUUUAAAGAAGUGUUUUCUGUUGAGGUUUUGGUAAAAGUUCUUUGGAAUAGACAUCAUAGAGGGUGAGAAUCCCGUAUUGACCUUUACUUUCAACUUUGUGAUACACUUUCAAAGAGUCGGAUUGUUGGGAAUGCAGUCCAAAAUGGUGGUAAAUUUCAUCUAAAGCUAAUAUUGGCAGAGAGACCGAUAGCGAACAAGUACCGUGAGGAAAGAUGAAAAGAACUUUGAAAAGAGAGUUAAACAGUACGUGAAAUUGUCAAAAGGGAAGCGUUUGACACCAGUGUUGUUUUUCUGAAAAUCAAUUAAAGAACUGUUUAUGCUAAGUUGUUUAGACUUUAUCAGCUAACUGUUUAGUUUUGAGCUUUUCUUUAAUGCACUUUUCAGUUAACAAGUCAACAUCAUUUCUUUUGCUGUAAAAAAGCUUGAGGAAGGUGGCUUGAGAUUCGUCUUAAGUGUUUAUAGCCUCUUGCCUAUGCAGUCGGAGAGAUUGAGGUCUGCAGCGUAGAUCUUCGGGCUAAAUGCAUUGUGCUAAGUUAUAGCAUUUAUAGACAACUUGUUGACUAUGAUUUGUCUUGUAGCUUACUCGCUUAUGUUAUUUUACCUACGCUUAGGAUGUUG